CCUACGGGUGGCAGCAGUGGGGAAUCUUGCGCAAUGGGCGCAAGCCUGACGCAGCAACGCCGCGUGAAGGAAGAAGGCUUUCGGGUUGUAAACUUCUGUUGUCAGGGAAGAGUAGAAGACGGUACCUGACGUAUAAGCCACGGCUAACUACGUGCCAGCAGCCGCGGUAAUACGUAGGCGGCAAGCGUUGUCCGGAUUUACUGGGGGUAAAGGGCGUGUAGCCGGGUUGGCAAGUCAGAUGUGAAAACCUGCGGCUUAACCGAAGAACUGCAUUAGAAACUGUUGAGCUUGAGUACAGGAGAGGAAGAUGGAAUUCCUAGUGUAGCGGUGAAAUGCGUAGAUAUACGGAGGAACACCAGUGGCGAAGGCGGAUUGCUGGACUGUAACUGACGCUGAGGCGCGAAAGCGUGGGGAGCAAACAGGAUUAGAUACCCGAGUAGUC
rnacentral:rRNA from 1 species